rnacentral:misc_RNA from 1 species
UUAAGUUCAGCGGGUAGUCCUACCUGAUUUGAGAUCAAACAUUCAUGAAGCUGUCUUCGCUGAGGGAGAGACAUUUAUGAGCCCCCAGCAAACCCCCAUCGCUGAAGGUUACCUGGCGAAAAAUCACAAGCGUAGAUAUUUAUCACACCCAUGAUGCCACCAAACACUGGAAAGCUGAUUCAUUUCAGGGGAGCCGACCA